rnacentral:rRNA from 1 species
AGUGAACGCUGGCGGUAGGCCUAACACAUGCAAGUCGACCGGCAGCACAGUAACAUCUUGCUCUUACGGGUGGCGAGUGGCGGACGAGUGAGGAAUACCUCGGAAUCUACUUUUUCGUGGGGGAUAACGUAGGGAAACUUACGCUAAUACCGCAUACGACCUACGGGUGAAAUCAGGUGAUCUUCUGACCUUGCGCGAUUGAAUGAGCCGAUGUCGGGUUAGCUAGUUGGCGGGGUAAAGGCCCACCAAGGCGGCGAUCCGUAGCUGGUGUGAGAGGAUGGACAGCCACAGUGGAAAUGAGACACGGUCCCGGCUGCUACGGGAGGCAGCAGUGGGGAAUAAUGGCUAAUGGGCGCAAGCCUGAGCCAGCCAUACCGCGUAGGUGAAGGAGGCCUUCGGGUUGGAAAGUCCUUUUGUUGGGGAAAAAAAGCAGGAGGUUAAAACCCCUGCGUUCUGAAGGUACCCAAAGAAUAAGCACCGGCUAACUGCGUG